rnacentral:rRNA from 1 species
GUGGGGUAAUGGCCCACCAAGGCAGCGACGGGUAGCUGGUCUGAGAGGAUGUCCAGCCACACUGGGACUGAGACACGGCCCAGACUCCUACGGGAGGCAGCAGCUAGGAAUCUUGCGCAAUGGACGAAAGUCUGACGCAGCGACGCCGCGUGCGGGAUGAAGGCCUUAGGGUCGUAAACCGCUUUCAGCAGGGACGAAAUUGACGGUACCUGCAGAAGAAGCCCCGGCCAACUACGUGCCAGCAGCCGCGGUAAUACGUAGGGGGCGAGCGUUGUCCGGAUUUAUUGGGCGUAAAGAGCUCGUAGGCGGUUUGGUAAGUCGGACGUGAAAUCUCCAGGCUCAACUUGGAGGGGUCAUUCGAUACUGCCAUGACUAGAGUUCGGUAGGGGAAUGUGGAAUACCUGGUGGAGCGGUGAAAUGCGCAGAUAUCAGGUGGAACACCCGUAGCGAAGGCGGCAUUCUGGGCCGAUACUGACGCUGAGGAGCGAAAGCGUGGGGAGCGAACAGGAUUAGAUACCCUGGUAGUCCACGCCGUAAACGUUGGGCACUAGGUGUGGGGUUCUAUCGACGGAUUCCGUGCCGUAGCUAACGCAUUAAGCG